rnacentral:rRNA from 1 species
GACGAACGCUGGCGGCGUGCCUAAUACAUGCAAGUCGAACGCUGAAGGAGGAGCUUGCUUCUCUGGAUGAGUUGCGAACGGGUGAGUAACGCGUAGGUAACCUGCCUGGUAGCGGGGGAUAACUAUUGGAAACGAUAGCUAAUACCGCAUAACAGUAGAUAUCGCAUGAUAUCUACUUGAAAGGUGCAAUUGCAUCACUACCAGAUGGACCUGCGUUGUAUUAGCUAGUUGGUGAGGUAACGGCUCACCAAGGCGACGAUACAUAGCCGACCUGAGAGGGUGAUCGGCCACACUGGGACUGAGACACGGCCCAGACUCCUACGGGAGGCAGCAGUAGGGAAUCUUCGGCAAUGGACGGAAGUCUGGCCGAGCAACGCCGCGUGAGUGAAGAAGGUUUUCGGAUCGUAAAGCUCUGUUGUAAGAGAAGAACGAGUGUGAGAGUGGAAAGUUCACACUGUGACGGUAUCUUACCAGAAAGGGACGGCUAACUACGUG